rnacentral:rRNA from 1 species
CCUACGGGAGGCAGCAGUGAGGAAUAUUGGUCAAUGGGCUUACGCCUGAACCAGCCAAGUCGCGUGAGGGAAGACUGCCCUAUGGGUUGUAAACCUCUUUUGUCAGGGAACAAAGGCGGGGACUAGUCCCCGGAUGAGGGUACCUGAAGAAAAAGCAUCGGCUAACUCCGUGCCAGCAGCCGCGGUAAUACGGAGGAUGCGAGCGUUAUCCGGAUUUAUUGGGUUUAAAGGGGGCGCAGGCGGCCUGUUAAGUCAGCGGUAAAAGCCCGGGGCUCAACCCCGGCGAGCCGUUGAAACUGGCGGGCUGGAGUUGGAGAGAAGUACGCGGAAUGCGCGGUGUAGCGGUGAAAUGCUUAGAUAUCGCGCAGAACCCCGAUUGCGAAGGCAGCGUACCGGCUCCACACUGACGCUGAGGCACGAAAGCGUGGGUAUCGAACAGGAUUAGAUACCCGUGUAGUC